rnacentral:rRNA from 1 species
CGUACACGGACGGAACGCGUGGCGGGCGGUGGAGUUAGGUCAUAGCAAGUACGGACGGUAGGGCGUUUAUCGUAAGAUAGAGUUGAGAGUGGCGCACGGGUGAGUAACGCGUGGAUAAUCUGCCCUUUAGUUGGGAAUAACGUACCGAAAGGUGCGCUAAUACCGAAUAAUGCUGAGUGACAUCAGUUAUUUAGCCAAAGAAGGCCUCUGCUGCAAGCUUUCGCUGAAGGAUGAGUCCGUGUACCAUUAGCUAGUUGGUAGGGUAAUGGCCUACCAAGGCGACGAUGGUUAGCUGGUCUGAGAGGAUGAUCAGCCACACUGGAACUGAGACACGGUCCAGACUCCUACGGGAGGCAGCAGUAAGGAAUAUUGGGCAAUGGUCGAAAGACUGACCCAGCCAUGCCGCGUGCAGGAUGAAGGCCCUAUGGGUUGUAAACUGCUUUUAGCCGGGAAUAAACACCCGUUUUAUAACGGGCCCGAAGGUACCGGCUGAAUAAGCAUCGGCUAACUCCGUG